rnacentral:rRNA from 1 species
GAUGAACGCUAGCUACAGGCUUAACACAUGCAAGUCGAGGGGAAACGACAUCGAAAGCUUGCUUUUGGUGGGCGUCGACCGGCGCACGGGUGAGUAACGCGUAUCCAACCUGCCCACCACUUGGGGAUAACCUUGCGAAAGUAAGACUAAUACCCAAUGAUAUCCCACGAAGGCAUCCGAAUGGGAUUAAAGAUUUAUCGGUGAUGGAUGGGGAUGCGUCUGAUUAGCUUGUUGGCGGGGUAACGGCCCACCAAGGCGACGAUCAGUAGGGGUUCUGAGAGGAAGGUCCCCCCACAUUGGAACUGAGACACGGUCCAAACUCCUACGGGAGGCAGCAGUGAGGAAUAUUGGUCAAUGGGCGCAAGCCUGAACCAGCCAAGUAGCGUGAGGGAAGACUGCCCUACGGGUUGUAAACCUCUUUUGUUUGGGAAUAAAGUGCGGGACGUGUCCCGCAUUGCAUGUACCAUUUGAAUAAGGACCGGCUAAUUCCCGUG